UCGGACGUGGUGCAUGGUGCACGUCCCCACACGCUGUUUUUGAAGAUUUGCGCAGUUUGUGCGGAAGUCCUGGGUUCGACUCCCAGUGUCUGAA